AGAGGGGGGAAGGCAGUUGACAUUAGGAAGGGCCACUCAGCAGUGUCUCUAGUCUGGAGAGAAGUACUAGGGCUAUGGAGCAUGGGGCCCAAUCCUUCCAACACCCGCUUCACCAAAUGAUGGUAAGUGACCUUCUUGUACCUACACAUGCCUUCCACACUGAGGUAUACACUUUGCACCCUGUGUAUUUACUCCCUCACUGCCAUGCAUACUCAUAGCAUCACAGAAAACAGUGAAAUAAGCUUUGUUCCAGGAACAGACUAAUAGGUACAAGAGGCUUUACACAAGUUUUAUAGAAAGGGCACAAAAAAAAACAUUUCUCAACCA